GAGAAUCUGAGCUUCAGGACGGGGACAACAGUUGGAAACGACUGCUAAUACCCGAUAUGCCUAUGGGUGAAAUCUAUUUGGCCUGAAGAUGAGCUCGCGUCUGAUUAGCUAGUUGGUGGUGUAAUGGACUCACCAAGGCAACGAUCAGUAGCUGGUCUGAGAGGAUGAGCAGCCACACUGGGACUGAGACACGGCCCAGACUCCUACGGGAGGCAGCAGUGGGGAAUUUUCCGCAAUGGGCGAAAGCCUGACGGAGCAAUACCGCGUGAGGGAGGAAGGUUCUUGGAUUGUAAACCUCUUUUCUCAGGGAAGAAAAAAAUGACGGUACCUGAGGAAUAAGCAUCGGCUAACUCCGUGCCAGCAGCCGCGGUAAUACGGGGGAUGCAAGCGUUAUCCGGAAUUAUUGGGCGUAAAGAGUCCGUAGGUGGUUUUACAAGUCUGUUGUCAAAGCCCGCAGCUCAACUGCGGAGAGGCAAUGGAAACUGUGAGACUAGAGUGUGGUAGGGGUAGAGGGAAUUCCCAGUGUAGCGGUGAAAUGCGUAGAUAUUGGGAAGAACACCGGUGGCGAAAGCGCUCUACUGGGCCACAACUGACACUGAGGGACGAAGCCA
rnacentral:rRNA from 1 species